AAGAAUUUGGCAUCACAUAUACUAAAAUUGGAAUGAUACAGAGAAGAUUAGCAUGGCCUCUGUGCAAGGAUGACACACAAAUACAAAAACAUUAUAAUU
rnacentral:snRNA from 1 species